AUAUUGGACAAUGUGCGCAAACCUGAUCCAGCCCUACCUCGCGGGUGAAGAAGGCCUUCGGGUUGUAAAGCCCCUCUGUUGGGAAAGAACUCCAGCUGGCUAAUACCCGGUUGGGGUGACUGUACGCAAAGAAUAAGCACCGGAUAACCUCGUCCCCGCGGCCGCGGUAAUACGAAGAGUGCAAGCGUUACUCGGAAAUACUGGGCGUAAAGCGUGCGUAGGUGGUCGUUUAAGUCCGUUGUGAAAGCCCUGGGCUCAACAUGGGAACUGCAGUGGAUACUUGGCGACUAGAGUGUGGUAAAAAGUAGCGGAAAUCCUGGUGUAGCAGUGAAAUGCGUAGAGAUCAGGGGGAACAUCCAUGUCGAAGGCAGCUACCUGGACCAACACUGACACUGGAGCACGAAAGCGUGGGGAGCAAACAG
rnacentral:rRNA from 1 species